rnacentral:rRNA from 1 species
AAUAGAUACCCCGUAGUCACGCCGUAAACGACUCGAGUGCUAAGUGUUACGAGGGUUUCCGCCCUUUAGUGGCUGCAGCUAACGCAUUAAGCACUCCGCCUGGGGAGUACGGCCGCAAGGCUGAAACUCAAAAGGAAUUGACGGGGGCCCGCACAAGCGGUGGAGCAUGUGGUUUAAUUCGAAGCAACGCGAAGAACCUUACCAGGUCUUGACAUCCUCUGCCAACCCUAGAGAUAGGGCGUUCCCCUUCGGGGGACAGAGUGACAGGUGGUGCAUGGUUGUCGUCAGCUCGUGUCGUGAGAUGUUGGGUUAAGUCCCGCAACGAGCGCAACCCUUGAUCUUAGUUGCCAGCAUUUCAGUUGGGCACUCUAAGGUGACUGCCGGUGACAAACCGGAGGAAGGUGGGGAUGACGUCAAAUCAUCAUGCCCCUUAUGACCUGGGCUGCACACGUGCUACAAUGGAUGGUACAAAGAGCUGCGAACCCGCGAGGGUAAGCGAAUCUCAUAAAGCCAUUCUCAGUUCGGAUUGUAGG